rnacentral:misc_RNA from 1 species
CGACGUUCUUGAACUUCUCGCGCGCCUCGGCCCAUUUUUCCUGCCGCGCCAGCGCGAGCGCCUUCCAGAGCUGGGAAUCGACAUUCGCCGUCACCAAGGGAUUGUUGAGGUCGGCCAUCGCAAGUGCAGGACGACCCGCCAGCGUGCUGGCGACCGCGUGAACGGUCAGUGACGGCGCGUCUUCCUCGCCCGGUUUGAUCUCGGAAAACGCCAGGUCGAGAACGCCCUUUGCUUCGGGAUACAUCCCGCGCGCGAGAUAGAACCGCGCCAGAUCGACAUGGACCGGCAAGCGCGCCGUUCCGGUUG